GUGCUUGCUUUAGCAACACAUAUACUAAAACUGGAACAUACAGAGGAGAUUAGCAUGGCCCCUGCAGAAGGACGAUAGUCAAAUCCGUGAUGCAUUCCCUAUUUUU